rnacentral:tRNA from 1 species
GCUCCUAUAGUGUAGUGGUUAUCACUCAGGUCUUUGAAUCCUGAAACUCGAGUUCGAAUCUCGAUAGGAGCU